rnacentral:lncRNA from 1 species
UUCUGAGAACCCAAGGAUUCCAGGUAGUUUUACUCAAGCUGCACUUGCAUCAGGUCUGCUUUCCCACCUUGGUUUUACGUCCUAGACACAUUUAUAAGCCUGAGUUCUGUCUUUCAUGUUUGCUCAACUUCCCUUUUUAAUACUAUCAUUUCUUACUUAAUAUUUUACAUUAACCUAUGUCUUAUCCCUCAUGCUUCCUCGAGGGUCUUUAGAAAACUAGGCAGAUUUGGUUAAUUUUUAAAACAUCUAUUUACACUUAGGGAUUGUGAAGAAGCCAGGAAAUAAGUGUUUUGGAUUUCUAAAAUACACAUAUGGGCAUCUUUUUAUUUAUUAACAGCUUUUAUAUGUUUUCAAUAUUAUUCCUUAAAGCAGCUGUUUCUUUGAGUUCUCUUUCACACCUGCCUGUCACUUAGAAUUUCCAUUUGUUAAUUUACAAAUCCAAAUUGGAAGCAACAAAAGCAAAGCACAAGGUAAUUUUCCUGAUUUUAAAUUUUACUUAUAAAUUUGAGGGUCAUUUAGAAGCUCUGUGCAUACCCAGCUAGGGUCACAGAGAAGCCACUGGCUUUUACUCUAUCCCUAAAUACUGUUUUUGAGGUGCAAAUACUAAUAUAGGACUUACCAGACUUAUAAUAGUUAGGUUUGUGUGGUUUUCCUCCAUUAAAUUGUAAGGCCCUGAAGGAAGCAUUUUUCUCUUUAUCCAUUAUUGUACUUAGUACGAUGCAGGUGAAUAAUACAUACUUAAAUGGGAAGGGCAUCAUCUAUUUUUACUUCCAGAAAGUCUUAAGAAAGCCAAUUAAAAAUUUUAAUUAUCUUGGCAUUAGAAAAAAUCGGAGAUAAAGUGACUUAGAGAGGGAAAGAGAGUGUGGAUAAUGUUUCUCUCCCAGAUGGAAAAGGACACGAUGUUCACUAUUGAUCUCAAGAGGGCACAUUUUCAGAUGACAAGUGGCUCUUCAGGAUAGUUAAAUGGCAAAAUGUCUGGGAUGACAUAGGACCAGUCGUGCUUUAAUGUGGAAAAUACAAAAGGGGAACACAUCUAAACCACAUAGACACAAGAGUGGUUUGGGAUCACUGUGUAGUUGGGAGCCAUUAUUUCCAUGGCUUGUUUUGGCAAUAGGGACCCAACAAUGAGCUCAGCCCCACUAGUAAGAAUGAGCAGCAACACAACAUGGCAGGCAUGACUCUUUUCCUACUGGGCACAUGUGUACCUUCCCUCAGUCACAUGAGGUCUGAGCUGCCUCACCUGGAGCUGAUCUCUCAGGGCCUAGGCCGGGGCCUCUGCCACAAUCAGCAGUUUGUUGGCCAACAUUAUUCGGUUUAUGUAAUUUGAGGUGCUGGGCAAGGGUCUAAGUAGAGUUGUUGCUUGGGAUUCAUGGGGGAUUGAUUCCAGGACCCCUACAGAUGCCAAAAUCCAGAGAUACUCAAGUACAUUAUAUAAAAUACUAUAGUACUUGCAUAUAACCUAUACCCAUCCUCCUGUAUAUUUUAAAUUAUCUCUAGUUUAAUUGAUGUACAUGUUAUAUAAAUAGUUGUUAUACUGUAUUUAAAAAUUUUGUUAUUGUUAUAUUGGGUUUCUCUCCCAAAUACUUUUGAUCUGUGCUUGGUUGAAUCAGCCAGUGCCAAACCCACAAUAUGGAGGGCAGACAGUAAAUUCCUACCAGGCUUGGCUUAUCAAUUCAUUCAUUCCACAUGCAUU